rnacentral:rRNA from 1 species
AACGAACGCUGGCGGCAGGCUUAACACAUGCAAGUCGAGCGCCCCGCAAGGGGAGCGGCAGACGGGUGAGUAACGCGUGGGAAUCUACCCAUCUCUACGGAAUAACGCAUGGAAACGUGUGCUAAUACCGUAUACGUCCUUCGGGAGAAAGAUUUAUCGGAGAUGGAUGAGCCCGCGUUGGAUUAGCUAGUUGGUGGGGGAAAGGCCUACCAAGGCGACGAUACAUAGCUAGUCUGAGAGGAUGAUCAGCCACACUUGGACUGGGACACGGCCCAGACUCAUACGGGAGGCAGCAGUGGGGAAUAUUGGACAGUGGGCGCAAGCCUGAUCCAGCCAUGCCGCGUGAGUGAUGAAGGCCCUAGGGUUGUAAAGCUCUUUCACCGGUAAAGAUAAUGACGGUAAACGGAGAAGAAGCCCCGGCUAACUUCGUGCCAGCCGCCGCAGUAAGAC